GACGAACGCUGGCGGCGUGCUUAACACAUGCAAGUCGAGCGGUAAGGCCCUUUCGGGGGUACGACGAGCGGCGAACGGGUGAGUAACACGUGGGUGACCUGCCCUCAGCUCUGGGAUAAGCCUGGGAAACCGGGUCUAAUACUGGAUAUGACUCCAUGACGCAUGUUGUGGGGUGGAAAGCCUCGUGCGGCUGAGGAUGGGCCCGCGGCCUAUCAGCUUGUUGGUGGGGUGANGGCCUACCAAGGCGACGACGGGUAGCCGGCCUGAGAGGGCGACCGGCCACACUGGGACUGAGACACGGCCCAGACUCCUACGGGAGGCAGCAGUGGGGAAUCUUGCGCAAUGGGCGAAAGCCUGACGCAGCGACGCCGCGUGAGGGAUGACGGCCU
rnacentral:rRNA from 1 species